rnacentral:tRNA from 1 species
CAGAGAAUAAUUUAAUUAAAAUAUUAAUUUUGGAGAUUAAAAAUAGAAAGUAUACAUUCUUUCUCUGA